rnacentral:lncRNA from 1 species
UUUUGUGGUAUUUCUGGAUCCUUUCCAAGGCAGUACUGGUAUAUACCUUCUCUCAAAGUAUGUGGUAUUUUUGGUAUGAGGCAUAGUGAUAUUGCCUUCCCUCUCACCCUACUCUAAUAAGGUUUUGAUAUCUGGAGCUCAUAGGCGGGAGACAGCUAAUACAUACUUACAAGACAUUUAUUGCAUAGUCAAACCAUAGAUCUAGAAGAACAAGUCAAUAAGUCAAAUCAAGAUGUGCAUGUGUGGCGAGUGAAUGGUGUAUGGUGAUGAUGGUGAUAACAAUGGUGAAAGUCUAAUUCUACUUUUUGCUCUUUUGAGGGGAUAUAUUCCUUUCUUGCACUUUAAAGCUUUUUGAGGGGAAUGAGAUGCACUAUAUUUUCUUUUUCUUUUUCUCUCAGGUGGGUAUCUUUGUACCCCUAGCUCCGAAAUAUCUGGAGCAUUUAUUUCACAGGGAAUAACAGGGAUAGGAAAAUAUUUUUGGCUAUUCUCUCCCAGAUAGGAGUAGAAUAAUUUUCGGUGAAUCUGGAGAUGGAAUUGAGUGGAUGUAUGUGG